GGAUCAGAAGGUAAAAUACUCUACAGCGUACUUCCCAAUAGAUGCCAGGACCAAAUCCCGCACUCUGGCUCCUGGCCAGGGUGAUGCUCAGGGGAGACCCACCAUGUCCCCCACUCUGAUGCUCUCCACACAGGGAGCUCUCCCAGUUGCACAGUGUAGCCUCUGUGAACUUUCUACGGAAUCCUUGACAGCAAUCUAAGUUAUGGGCAUUCAAUGUGCUUUGUCUAUUCUCUUAGCAGGAGAAAUCCCUGGGACAAUUAGGGUCCUGGCGGGGCCACCUCUGGACAGACAGACCACCUUACCCCUGGAAGGCCUGGCAAGCCAGUACCCAAACCAUGUGCGCUGCAUCUAUGGUGAAAUAAUCACACUUUGCACAUCCCAAGUAAAGCGUGCAAGUACAUUUUUAAGGAGUUCCUUUUGUGGCUCAGCAGGUUAUGGACUCAACUAGUAUCCAUCAGGAUGCAAGUCCAAUCCCUGGCCUCGUUCAGUGGGUUAAGGAUCUGGUGUUGCCAUGAGCUGUGCCCACUUCAGGCAGUGCCCGCCGAAUUCCAGGGCGCCUCCUUCCCUCUCCUUUCUGUGGAACUGCUCAGGGACAGGGGAUGAAGAGGACAGCCUAGUCUUGCUGGUGGAGGUAAAUCUUAAACCUCAGAGCCAGUAAAAACGUACCCCACAAACAAGUUAUUUGGAAAUGACAUGUAGGAAGGCAACACCAGAAUGGCUCUUUCAUAUAUCUCACUGCGCUUCACAGCCGGCGAGAUCCCGGUCCUUGAGGUGUUUAAGGAUUUUACCGAGAUGAAACGUCCUAAGGAGGAACGUGUCUUCCAUCUACCCGUGCCCCGCACCACCUACAGCCAAAUAAAGUUCUCCUCCAAGAAAACGAGAAACAACUCCUUUUGCGCUCCUGACGGAUGUGACCUCAGGGAGAAAAAGUUCUGUCCUGUGGACUCUCACCCCGAACACUUCUGGGCAGAAGUCAGCUGCCCCCACGCCUGGACCUGCUGGGACCUGGGGUCUCCAAUGACUCCCCAGCAUCCUCCACAAUACCUGUGAGCCUUCUGGAUCCAGGAGGAAUUGAACUCUACGCAGUGCACCUGUUAUGCUAAUUAUAUUGUCUUGCACUGAAUCUUUGAAAAAUGGUCAACUACUUUGCAUACAGUGACAUUCUCGUGCUCCCCCCCAUUUAAUUAGCUAAAAUUCCACAUCCUCUGAGCUGGCCAGACGACACACGUGCUGGGCAUUUUCAGGAGAUUCUGAAACCACAUAGCACAUCUGGGAGAAAACCGUGCAUUUAUUAAGAAUAACCUUUUUUUUCCCCUAACCAAGUUUCCUGUUAUACAUGUAAUUUUGCAGCAGUGAGCCAGUGUAGUUCAAAACAUGUCACUCAUUCAUUUGUUCAUUCGAUAUAUAUUCAUAGAAAUCUACAGUGAACUCAACUUUGGGCUAAACUCUUCCUAAAACAAAUCACUUAAGUGGAAAAGUCUGUGGAAAGUAACUCUCAAUUACCUGCCUAAACAAAGAUUCCCAGAGGGAAGACGCGGACAGCCACCUCAUUCUUUCCCUGUGUCUGCCGCUAAAGCCAGCGUCUGAAGACAGAAGGGGAACGCUGACUCGACGAGCUCCAGGCGGCCUCGUUGCUCUCAGCUCUGCCUGUGUGCAGAUGGUCCCCGGCUGACUGGCGGCGGUUCGGCCUCGGAUUCUGGGGCCUGGGACGGUGCGGAAGUGACACACAUCUCGUACAAACUGCACCUAGAAUCCCGGGCUGCGAUCUUCUCCCAGGCUGGCAGCAGGCGGUCCAGUCCCCUCUCAUGAUGCUGGGCGGCGGCAGCGGCANNNNNNNNNNNNNNNNNNNNNNNNNNNNNNNCUGGAGCUCCACCAGCCCCGCCAUCGGGAGGGUGAACAACCAGCACGCUGACAACCACUGGAUCCACUUUCAGCACAGCAUUCCAUCAGUGACACGCGCUCCGCAACACUGUAUUAUAAACCAGGCUUUGUGUUCGAUGGUCUGGCCCAACCGCAGCCCCAGGCGAGCCCUGCGAGCAUGCGGAUGGUGGGCAAGGCUAAGCCGUGACACUCAGUGGGUCAGGUGCAUCAAGUGCAGGUUUUUCUGAAGAUAUUUUCAAUUUCCAGUGGGCCCAUGGGGAUGUGAUUCUGCCGUAAGUCGCGGAAGAUCUUACUGGGAAUGGCGAUGUCUCACUUUCUGGUAUGGAGUGGUGCCACCAUCGUCAGCAAAGCGAGAGGGCGGGAGCAGGGCU
rnacentral:lncRNA from 1 species